ensembl:lncRNA
CCACCACACUCCUCUGUCCAUGGGAUUCUCCAGGCAAGAAUACUGGAGUGGGUUGCCAUUUCCUCCUCCAGGGGAUCUUCUGGACCCAGACAUCGAACCUGUGUUUCCUGCAUCUCCUGCAUUGCAGGCAGAUUCUUUACUGUUGAGCCACUGGGAAAGCCCUCAGAGAGGGAUACAGACCCCAUUUUCCUGGAAGCUCAGCUCCUACAUGAAAUAUUAAAAGGUAAAGGAGGGCUGAGAGGAGCUACUCCACGUUCAAGGUCAGGAGGGGCGGCCAUGAGGAGAUACCCCUAAUCCAAGGUGAAGGUCCUGACCAAAAGAAGACUGUACUUUGAAAAAAAUCACUCCAUUUCAGCAGGACAACUGGAUCAGCUCGAGAGGCAGGCUGGUAGUCUUGACAAACAAGAUCUAUGGGCAAUCAGAUGAGCACUGGGUCCCGCCAGAGCUUGCCAGAAAGUGAUAGAUGUUGGUGAGAAUUGUUAUCAUCUUGGUCUCCUCUUGUCCAAACUUCGAGUCCCAAAUCAAGCUCUCUGCUCAGCUACCAGUGGUGUAC